rnacentral:tRNA from 1 species
GCCGCCGUAGCUCAGUUGGCAGAGCGCCGGCUUGUAUCCGGCAGUGCGCUGGUUCGAUUCCAGCCGGCGGCUCCA